rnacentral:tRNA from 1 species
GGCAAUGAACUAUGGCUCAAUGGAAGAGCAUCUGCUUGACAUGCAGAAGGUACUGGGUUCAAUUCCUGACAUCGGAUCA